rnacentral:misc_RNA from 1 species
AAGUCGUAACAAGGUUUCCGUAGGUGAACCUGCGGAAGGAUCAUUAGCAUAUACGCGUGUUAUUGUUGGCGCCCGAGGUUAGGGAGAAAUCUCUCUCGGGUCCAACAAUCCGCGACGAACCAUGUGAACUUGGAAUAUGUGUAUAGCUGUGCGGUUGGAGCACGAAUGUGUGCGCCGCCGCAUGGUCAACUAAACCUGUAACUUUUAAUAUCAUACACACAAACAAAACCAUAAUUAAAUACACAACUUUUAACAAUGGAUCUCUUGGCUCCU